rnacentral:rRNA from 1 species
GAUGAACGCUAGCUACAGGCUUAACACAUGCCAGUCGAGGGGAAACGACAUCGAAAGCUUGCUUUUGAUGGGCGUCGACCGGCGCACGGGUGAGUAACGCGUAUCCAACCUGCCCACCACUUGGGGAUAACCUUGCGAAAGUAAGACUAAUACCCAAUGAUAUCCCACGAAGACAUCUGAAUGGGAUUAAAGAUUUAUCGGUGAUGGAUGGGGAUGCGUCUGAUUAGCUUGUUGGCGGGGUAACGGCCCACCAAGGCAACGAUCAGUAGGGGUUCUGAGAGGAAGGUCCCCCACAUUGGAACUGAGACACGGUCCAAACUCCUACGGGAGGCAGCAGUGAGGAAUAUUGGUCAAUGGGCGAGAGCCUGAACCAGCCAAGUAGCGUGCAGGAAGACGGCCCUAUGGGUUGUAAACUGCUUUUAUAAGGGAAUAAAGUGGGUCACGUGUGACUUUUUGCAUGUACCUUAUGAAUAAGGACCGGCUAAUUCCGUG